UACGUAGGGGGGCUAGCGUUGUCCGGAAUCAUUGGGCGUAAAGCGCGUGUAGGCGGUUCGGUAAGUCCGCUGUGAAAGUCGGGGGGCUCAACCCUCGGAUGCCGGUGGAUACUGUCGGGCUUGAGUACGGAAGAGGCGAGUGGAAUUCCGCGUGUAGCAGUGAAAUGCGUAGAUAUGCGGAGGAACACCGAUGGCGAAGGCAAUCCCCUGGGCCUGCACUGACGCUGAGGCACGAAAGCUAGGGGAGCAAACAGG
rnacentral:rRNA from 1 species